CCCUUAGAGUUUGAUCCUGGCUCAGAAUCAACGCUGGCGGCGUGCCUAAUACAUGCAAGUCGAACGCGAAAGCCCCGCAAGGGGCAAGUAGAGUGGCAAACGGGUGAGUAACGCGUGGGCGACCUACCUUCGAGUGGGGGAUAACCUUCCAAAAGGAGGGCUAAUACCGCAUGACAUCCCGUGUUUGGAUACACGGACAUCAAAGCUGGGGAUCGCAAGACCUGGCGCUUGAAGAGGGGCCUGCGUCCGAUUAGCUAGUUGGUGGGGUAAUGGCCCACCAAGGCUUCGAUCGGUAUCCGGCCUGAGAGGGCGGACGGACACACUGGGACUGAGACACGGCCCAGACUCCUACGGGAGGCAGCAGUAGGGAAUUGUUCGCAAUGGGCGCAAGCCUGACGACGCAACGCCGCGUGGAGGAUGAAGACCUUCGGGUCGUAAACUCCUUUCGACCGAGAUGAACAGCCCGUGACCUAACACGUCGCGGGCCUGACAGUAUCGAGGGAAGAAGCCCCGGCUAACUCCGUGCCAGCAGCCGCGGUAAUACGGGGGGGGCAAGCGUUGUUCGGAAUUACUGGGCGUAAAGGGUUC
rnacentral:rRNA from 1 species